rnacentral:tRNA from 1 species
GUUUAAGUAGUUUAUAAUAAAAUAUUGAUUUGUGGUGUCAAUGAAGUAGAAUUUUUACCUUAAACC